GGUGGAGUAGCUCAGGGGUAGAGUGCUUGCCUAGUAUGUGCAAAGGUCCUGGGUUAGAUCCCAGCAUUGCCA
rnacentral:tRNA from 1 species